rnacentral:rRNA from 1 species
UGAGGAAUAUUGGUCAAUGGGCGAGAGCCUGAACCAGCCAAGUCGCGUGAGGGAAUAAGGCCUACGGGUCGUAAACCUCUUUUGCCGGGGAGCAAGUCGGGGCUCGUGAGCCCUGAUGGAGAGUACCCGGAGAAAAAGCAUCGGCUAACUCCGUGCCAGCAGCCGCGGUAAUACGGAGGAUGCGAGCGUUAUCCGGAUUUAUUGGGUUUAAAGGGUGCGUAGGCGGGCUGGCAAGUCGGCGGUCAAAUGUCGGGGCUCAACCCCGGCCUGCCGUCGAAACUGCAGGCCUUGAGUGAGCGAGAAGCAGGCGGAAUGCGUGGUGUAGCGGUGAAAUGCAUAGAUAUCACGCAGAACCCCGAUUGCGAAGGCAGCCUGCCGGCGCUCAACUGACGCUGAGGCACGAAAGUGCGGGGAUCGAACAGGAUUAGAUACC